UACGUAGGGGGCAAGCGUUGUCCGGAAUGAUUGGGCGUAAAGGGCGCGUAGGCGGCCUAUCAAGUCAGUAGUGGAAGUCCAGCUUUCAAGGUUGGAAGUGCUAUUGAAACUGAGGGGCUUGAGUGCAGGAGAGGUUAUCGGAAUUCCCGGUGUAGCGGUGAAAUGCGUAGAGAUCGGGAGGAACACCAGUGGCGAAGGCGGGUAACUGGACUGCAACUGACGCUGAUGCGCGAAAGUGUGGGGAGCAAACAGGAUUAGAUACCCCUGUAGU
rnacentral:rRNA from 1 species